UCCAUGCCAGCAAGGGGCCCUGAAGCUUAGAUUUUAUUAAAUAGUUUUUACAUAGUAAAUCCACCUUUGUGUGCCUAGUAUAGGAACUCCCUGUCUCAUACUCUCCAAGGGGUGGGGCCCCUUCAUUCUUUUGCUAGGGUGAGGCAGGGACAGUCUCCCAGGGACACCGAAGUUGGAGAGGAGAUGGCAGGGCUCUAAACUUACUCAGAAACAGCUUUCAACCAGUUCUUCUGAUCCGAGAGCUCGGCUUCACCCCACUUCUGGAAGUACCCAGUGCCACCGAUUACUGACCCUUUGAGGAUUCUGUGAUGCUUCAUGCCCAGCACACAGCCUAACACGGGGCUUGAAUUCACGACCUUGAGAUCAAGACCUGAGCAAAAGUCGAUGCUUAACUGACUGAGCCACCCAGGAGCCCCUCAAAGGCUUGGGUGGCAGCGUCAGCUUGGAUUAUCCAUUCCAUGUCAGAGGUGGAGAAAACAAGACCGAGGAAGGUUAAAUGCCUGACCAGGCCACACUGUGAAGGAGGGAACCAGAACCUGAACUCAGCCCUCUACCUCCCAGCCACAUUUAUCUGCACUGACUCUAAUUUCCUUCAUUCUGAGUCAAACCUCUGGAUCCAUAGUAUAGGAAGAUUUCCUCCAGGACUACUUUUUCCCUUGACAUUGAACCCAAAGAGCAUCAAGGCAUGUGGUUCCAGGGAAGGCUAUAACCCCUGAAGACAGCGAAGCCAGGUAAAUAAGCCAGAUUCUUCUUAAUUCUGUUGAAUUCUCCCUCCAUACAAUAAUAAAGACACAUACACAUAAGAAGAGAGAGGAGACCAGCAGAAGGAGAGGAGAGGGAAGCACCUGACUUAAGGCCAAAUGGUGAAUCAGUGAUCUGACAUAUGAACAUAAAAUGCCUCCUUCCUCGCAGGGCACACCACUGGACAGCCUGGCUUAAAGACACGUGGGUGGUCAGUGGGUGAAUGCAUGGGUAGAUGAACAGGAAGGCAGCAGGUACCCACAAAACAAACGGGGUGGGCGGGCUGCAUGCACAGAGGAAGCGAGGAACAAAGACCUCUUACUCUUCAUGCAAAAUCCACAGUGUGCAAAGGGCAUCAAUAUUGGACAUUUCUCACUGUGACAUUUUGAAAGCCUGGCCUAGCCCAGAACAAUGGUUACCCUCUGGGGACCAGGGGCUGAGUGCCCCUAGGCCUUAUUCAAUGAUGGCUUGGCAUACCCCAUGUGCUUGGUGAACUCGACCUUGGGCAUCAGCCUCCCAUGAUGGCUCUACGUCACUCUGGUCUCUUCCCCCACUGAGAAUUCCAGUCUUGGAUGAAUGGAUGGAUUCAUUCUGGGAGCAGGAAAACCACUCCAGGAGUGAAUCAGAAGGACCCAGCCCUGGUCCCUUUGCCAGCCAUUGAGCCAGGAACUGAGUGUGAUUGUGUGCCCAGGCGCCGGUGCUGUUCCCCUCUCAGGGAGAUAGGGUCAGGGUCCACGUAAGAGAUGACGUAGUCGCCCUCUAAAGAAGAAGAAAAAGGAAUCUCAGCUUUGAGGGACAAAGCCGCCCUUUUGGUUCUGACCCUCAGUCCAAAAGAGGUGCCAAGCUGCACAUGUACUAAUAAGUUAAUUCUACAGGAUAAAAAUCGCAGCUUUUGCUGAACAGUUAGUUGUCAAUUUCAAUUCUCUGCAGCCUGACAGACCUCAGGAAAUAGGCUACUACUUUUUCAGAAAAAAGCUUCUUCAAGAUGGGUGGGAACAGCACGCCUCAGAUCACCAAGAGAAUAUUCUACUCUGGUCUGGGCUCUGUUCUCCUCCCGAUUUGUGAAGAAAAGGUCAAUUUAUUUUUAAAUUUGUAAAUGCCAAUGUAAGCAAUAUAAAGCAUCUGAACUUCCUGCUUUCCUACCUUGAAAAAUUAAGCAAGAGAACUCCAACGAUUCAAGGUGCAGCAGGCAAGAGGACAUCUGUAUCACGAGGCUGGGAGACCCAGGCUGACAUUUUAAGGAAGUAAUUCCUCUAGGAAAGGGAACUGAAGGAUUGCCACUUUGCCCAUCGUUAACUAGGUUAUAACAAGAUGGGAAAGUUAGCUAACUUUCAAGGCUCUAGCCCCGUAUUGGCCUCCUGGAGCUAAGGUGGAGGGAAAAGGAGCAGUUCCUACCGGGGCUUAUUAGGGCACUGCUCCAGGCUGCCCUCGUGUGCAGGCACCAACUGUCUAACAUUUGUCCAUCAAUCUUUGUCUAAGAAACAGGAGGGAGGAGGGGACAGAAUAUGGUUUAAAUUUUGUAUUACAGAAUUGUCCUGAACACUGACUGACAUUAGCUGCUUGUCGCCAGAGCUUAGUCUCCACUAAUGGUCAAAUGUGAGCCCGUUAAGAGCCUUCCUGAAGGAUACUCUACUAUCUUCAUUCAUUCAUGACUAGUUAUCACACAUUUACUUUGUGUAAAGAAACAGCUAGACUAUGAGGACAGAGUGGCAAACAUGUUCCCGAUGCUAAUGGACCUUGGAUUCCAAAAGGUUUGAUUCAUCUUGUACAUCCCCGGGGGGGUGGGGUCAAUGUAUUCAGACAAGCAAACUACGGCUGGAUGCUCUGAGGUUUCGCAUUAUGGAUAUGCAGGUCCUUGGGCCUGAAGGUAAGGCCCUUUGGGCAAACUGAGUCUUACAAAAUAAAUCAACCAUUAAAUAUUAUGAAGUAUCUACCAUGAACCUAGCACAUAUAGCAACGUACCUUCCAACUCUGGAGUCGUGACUCUACAUCUCUGAGACUCCUAGCAUCUUUUCUCAUGGCCUGCUAGUCCCCAUAAUGUUUAAGCUUACCAACCGCUAUUUUCAAGAGAAAGCAGUGAGUGGGUAAUGGCCCUGGAAAUGAUUAAAACUAGUCCAAUCCCACACUGGGAGUGUGGGUGUGGGUGUUCAAUUCUGGACCUUUCCAAAAGAGAAGCAAGUUUUGUCCUUUGAAGACUGUUAAGUGGUGCAAAGGCUAGUCAUCUGAAAGCGAGUGGCUGUUUGAUCAGUGAACUGGGCCCAGACUGCCAGUGAGGGCUACAGCUCUGGGGCCGCGGGAGCGGUGAAAAGAUGCCCACAGGGAGAAAGAAAGCAUUUACUCCACCUCAGCGGAUAUUUACAAGAGGAGGAGACGGGAAAGUUCCUCACUUCAAGCAGCUGGGAGAAGACGGGACGAGCUUGGAAGAGAAAGAGUCAGGAAACAGACGCAGGAUUCCAGGCCAAGGAGAUCCCCCGCCCCAUAUCCCGAUCAAACUGCCCUGAGGCCUAAGAGGGAAGCGCUCGGAAAAGGAGGGGUGCUGAGAGGCCAAACCCUAAACGGCGGUAGCAGCACCGCGGCGGCGGCAUCCGAGGCAUUUCUGGUGGGUGGCGCUGUCAGAAGAGUCCUGAACUUGAAAGCUGCCUGCAAGCUGCCUAGUGGCAAAGGAUCCAGGAAAAGGCACAGGACUGGAAAGUGCUACCCAGCAAUCUGUGUAUUCUGCAAUUAAGAAGGGGGGCUGACAGUGAACUUGGCCUUGCUGCCCUAGCCCUUCACUACUCAGAACAGCAGCAGCAUCACCCGGGAAUUUGUCAGAAAUGCAGAAUCUCGGACGCCACCCUGGACACACGUGAAUCAGAAUCUUCCUUUUAACAAGAACCUGCAGUGAUUCAUACGUACAUUAAAGUCUGAGAAGCGCUGCCUCAGAGUCCUGCUCUCAGACCUUUCUGCCCACUUUCCCUGGGGUCUCUGGACUGGUGGCAGCAAUGGUGGGAACGAGCCCAGCUCUUGUCCCUGACUGGUCUCCUUCAGGCUUCGGAACCUUUGGAAUCACCCUUCCCCGGCAGCACGGACUGGUCCUGAAGUGGCCCCAGCUCUCAAGUCUGACUAUUUGGACUGGUCAGACUCCUGGGCGGUCAGAGGAGAUGGGUGGACUGGAGGCGUUGGGGCUUGGCCAGGACUGAGAAGACACCAGGCACAUCCUCUCUCCAGCACCCCCACCUGGAGUUGCAGAAACAGCCCCAGAUCAGUGACUCUCAGUGUCACUUGCUGUUCUGGACAUUUGAGUUUCUGGCGUUGGGCAGGGCAGUCCCUCCUGCUGGUGGAGGACCUGCGUGGGGGACCUGGGUGCAGUUUGAUGGGCACUAGCAGGGGCUGUUUGACACGCCCAUGGUAGCUCCUUUCUCCCUGAUCAUGCUCCUCACUCCUGACCCUCUUUGGGGAACGUUUAUUCCCCAGGUGUUCAGGGACCUCCCGGGAAGGAAGAGGCAAGAGAGCAUUGUUUUUCCUUGUAGCCUGUAGACCACAGGGGGGUUGCAUGAGGCUCCCCAGGUGUGUGGGUCAGGGUCUGCUUUAGGGCCCUGGUCCUAGUAGGAGGCCUGCCACUAAGUGACUUCCUCAGGUUUCCCCCCUCUGAGAUGCCCAAGUAAAGCCGUCAUCCCUGGCAAGCUGCCAGUCUGCCCUCUCAUUCGUUGGCCAUGCCAGGGCCUGUGUGGUGGGCCUUUGCACCCCUGCCUGUCUGUGUCAGGCCAGGCUCCUUUUUCUGGGCCAAGGGAAAUGUGAAUGUGACCUGCUGGAGGUCUGCCAGGACUGGGGCUUGCUCUCUCAUUCUGUUGUGUCACCUUUUACAGUGCCCGGCAGGCAAAUGCCAAUCUGGGGAGCUUGGCAAUUACGAUGCAAAAACAACCGAGACUGAACUCUGUAAACACCCUGGCCUCACAGUUGCUCUGCCUCUGGAAUGCUUGGGGACUGACAUAACCCUGGGGAAGAGAAAGGAGAUCUACAGCCCUCUCUGGCAAGGCCAGCGGAGCCCGGGUCACUAGGCUGUCCCUUUAGGGGUGGUCAUCUAUUGGGGGGCCUCUCAGCUGAGCCCCGUGGGCUGAUGGGAAGGCAGGUGGAGAGCUAGGCUUGGGGCAGUUGCCGUGCUUGGCUUCCUGCCCUAUGGGGAUUGUCAUCAGUCUCCAAGUGUGUUGAAAUGAGUCUUUGCACAAGCUUGAGGAGGGCCCAGCAGUUCCAGGUGACAGUGCCCAGGGCCAUGAGGAGAUGGGAGGAAAGGGGAUGGGGUGACAACAGGGAAGAAUCCCAAAGAGGGUCAAGGGGCCUCCACAGCUGCUGACUCCCCAAGCUUCUGGAUCUGGGGCUCAGUCUGCCUAUCCCUGAACCAUGUGGCUGGACCUCAGAGGCCUUCCACCCCAGGAGUCUGCGAUUCUAGGAUGCCAGGCUGAUCCCAAGGUUAGGCCACAGGGAGCCGAGACAAACUUCUCCCCAGAACUUUUUAUUGUGAGCAGUCAAUUGCCCUGGCAUCUAAGGCUGCAGUGCACAAGCAAGGGGUCUUUAAUGAACGCAAAUGACAGCUGAUUAAUCUGCCUCCUCUCUGUGGGGUCUGGCCACGCUCCAUUCAGCCUCCAUGGCCUGCACCAGCAGGGUGGGCUCCAGCCUAUUACCACUGCGCUUGCAGCCCUAAUGGGGAAGAGGGGCAAGCCUCCCAGCCUGCAGUCCUGUCAUGCAUGAAGGGCUGACCCCUGCAGGAGUGGGUUUGGCCCCGCCACUCUCUCUCUGGGUGCUCCCCUACAGGAAGGGGGCAGCCUGCAAGGAAAGAUGCAAGCAGGUGCUCAGUGGGAUUUGUGCAAAGGGGUUACAUUUGGGAGGUAAGUGGGGGCACUGUCUAGACAACGGCAGAUGGUUUGUUUAUGUUACUUGCCGACUGUGGCCUCAAGAAAGCAGCCGGUUUCUCAGAUCCUUCGCACUGUGGGAAAAGGCAGAGGGGGAAGGAUGGGGGUCACAGAGAAUCCCUCUUUCUCUGCCAGGUCACCUGCCCUGGCUCCUGGCUGAUAUCAAUGAAGUCCACAUUUACUGUUGUGCUAGGUGCCAACUGCGGUGCAGGUGUGCGGGUGGUUUACAGUCUGACAGUAACACAAUGAAGGGGUAGUUACAGAUGUGAUGCAUGCUAGCAAGAGGAUUUACAGAGGGCAGGGAGGGCUUCCUGGAAGAAGCAGAAAGACUCCCCACCUGAUAGUGGUGCUUGGCGGGGGGAGGGGCGGGAGAACUGUGCACUGGGAUGGAGAGGCCCCUAUUUCCAGACUCUAGCUACUGGGCGUGGGCUCUUUCAGGGCCCGUAUCACCUCCUUGAGUUGAGGGAGGAGUAGGAGAGGGAGUGAGUUAGGACUGGAAUGGAGGCUACUGACCUUCUCCUGGGCAGGACCCCUGGCUGAGAAGCAGAAGCAGAGGUCCCUUCUAGGGGAGAAACCCCUCGGUUUCUACUGCAAUAAAGAAGGGGCCCCAAGCUCUCUCCUGCCACAGCCUCUAAUGAUGGGGUUGGGGUGUAAUGAACAUCUGUGUACUCAUAAAACAGCCUAAUGACCGCCCUCAUUUCACGGACCCCUUUCAUCUUCACCCGUUCCCAAACCAGAAGGGACCAUCCUGAGGGCUGAGACCCAGAGCCUGGUGGCAGCCACAGACCCCAGCUGUUCGGGGUGGGGGCCAGUUGGUUCCUGAGCCCCUCGGGGGCUGCCUUUUCCUCUUCCAUCCCUUAUCUGUUUGAAACAGCUGCGAGAAUUUAGGUUGAUGGCUGACCAACCUUAGGAAGUGGGCAGGGGUUGGGGAGGGAGGAAGCAU